rnacentral:pre_miRNA from 1 species
AGGAGGAAUAACCCCAGUGGCCGCGGCCUGCCUUGGAGCCCUGGAUUCAGCUCCAGCAGUAACUACGGAGCUCUCAGUGUGCAGGGGCCUGGAUGCUCCGGGGGUGG